CUGAGCAAAAGAGUAGCAGUAAAACAAUGUGUGCUUCCAAGUAGGACUUUUCCAGACACUUUACCUGCAGCUACAGAGGGAAACAGCAGUGAUACUUGUCUUCUACCACUGACGUGCCAAUGUGGGAAUCAAAGAUAUCCUGGGUCAUUGAUUCAAGUGUAGGUUUAGUUUACUGCUGUUUCUAGCUAGCUAGCUACUGCCAUGGGCACUUAAAACUAUUUAAGUAGGAGAUAGG